GGGUUGUGAGGUUAAGCGACUAAGCGUACACGGUGGAUGCCCUGGCAGUCAGAGGCGAUGAAGGACGUGCUAAUCUGCGAAAAGCGUCGGUAAGGUGAUAUGAACCGUUAUAACCGGCGAUGUCCGAAUGGGGAAACCCAGUGCAAUUCGUUGCACUAUCGUUAACUGAAUACAUAGGUUAACGAGGCGAACCGGGGGAACUGAAACAUCUAAGUACCCCGAGGAAAAGAAAUCAACCGAGAUUCCCCCAGUAGCGGCGAGCGAACGGGGAGCAGCCCAGAGUCUGAAUCAGCUUGUGUGUUAGUGGAACGGUCUGGAAAGUCCGACGGUACAGGGUGAUAGUCCCGUACACCAAAAUGCACAGGCUGUGAACUCGAAGAGUAGGGCGGGACACGUGGUAUCCUGUCUGAAUAUGGGGGGACCAUCCUCCAAGGCUAAAUACUCCUGACUGACCGAUAGUGAACCAGUACCGUGAGGGAAAGGCGAAAAGAACCCCGGCGAGGGGAGUGAAAAAGAACCUGAAACCGUGUACGUACAAGCAGUGGGAGCACCUUCGGGUGUGACUGCGUACCUUUUGUAUAAUGGGUCAGCGACUUAUAUUCUGUAGCAAGGUUAACCGUAUAGGGGAGCCGCAGGGAAACCGAGUCUUAACUGGGCGUUAAGUUGCAGGGUAUAGACCCGAAACCCGGUGAUCUAGCCAUGGGCAGGUUGAAGGUUGGGUAACACUAACUGGAGGACCGAACCGACUAAUGUUGAAAAAUUAGCGGAUGACUUGUGGCUGGGGGUGAAAGGCCAAUCAAACCGGGAGAUAGCUGGUUCUCCCCGAAAGCUAUUUAGGUAGCGCCUCGUGAACUCAUCUUCGGGGGUAGAGCACUGUUUCGGCUAGGGGGUCAUCCCGACUUACCAACCCGAUGCAAACUACGAAUACCGAAGAAUGUUAUCACGGGAGACACACGGCGGGUGCUAACGUCCGUCGUGAAGAGGGAAACAACCCAGACCGCCAGCUAAGGUCCCAAAGUCAUGGUUAAGUGGGAAACGAUGUGGGAAGGCACAGACAGCCAGGAUGUUGGCUUAGAAGCAGCCAUCAUUUAAAGAAAGCGUAAUAGCUCACUGGUCGAGUCGGCCUGCGCGGAAGAUGUAACGGGGCUAAACCAUGCACCGAAGCUGCGGCAGCGACACUAUGUGUUGUUGGGUAGGGGAGCGUUCUGUAAGCCUGCGAAGGUGUGCUGUGAGGCAUGCUGGAGGUAUCAGAAGUGCGAAUGCUGACAUAAGUAACGAUAAAGCGGGUGAAAAGCCCGCUCGCCGGAAGACCAAGGGUUCCUGUCCAACGUUAAUCGGGGCAGGGUGAGUCGACCCCUAAGGCGAGGCCGAAAGGCGUAGUCGAUGGGAAACAGGUUAAUAUUCCUGUACUUGGUGUUACUGCGAAGGGGGGACGGAGAAGGCUAUGUUAGCCGGGCGACGGUUGUCCCGGUUUAAGCAUGUAGGCUGAUUGUCCAGGCAAAUCCGGAUAAUCAAGGCUGAGGUGUGAUGACGAGGCACUACGGUGCUGAAGUAACAAAUGCCCUGCUUCCAGGAAAAGCCUCUAAGCAUCAGGUAACAUCAAAUCGUACCCCAAACCGACACAGGUGGUCAGGUAGAGAAUACCAAGGCGCUUGAGAGAACUCGGGUGAAGGAACUAGGCAAAAUGGUGCCGUAACUUCGGGAGAAGGCACGCUGGUGUGUAGGUGAAGUCCCUGCGGAUGGAGCUGAGACCAGUCGAAGAUACCAGCUGGCUGCAACUGUUUAUUAAAAACACAGCACUGUGCAAACACGAAAGUGGACGUAUACGGUGUGACGCCUGCCCGGUGCCGGAAGGUUAAUUGAUGGGGUUAUCCGUAAGGAGAAGCUCUUGAUCGAAGCCCCGGUAAACGGCGGCCGUAACUAUAACGGUCCUAAGGUAGCGAAAUUCCUUGUCGGGUAAGUUCCGACCUGCACGAAUGGCGUAAUGAUGGCCAGGCUGUCUCCACCCGAGACUCAGUGAAAUUGAACUCGCUGUGAAGAUGCAGUGUACCCGCGGCAAGACGGAAAGACCCCGUGAACCUUUACUAUAGCUUGACACUGAACAUUGAGCCUUGAUGUGUAGGAUAGGUGGGAGGCUUUGAAGCGUGGACGCCAGUCUGCGUGGAGCCAACCUUGAAAUACCACCCUUUAAUGUUUGAUGUUCUAACGUUGGCCCCUGACCGGGGUUGCGGACAGUGUCUGGUGGGUAGUUUGACUGGGGCGGUCUCCUCCCAAAGCGUAACGGAGGAGCACGAAGGUUAGCUAAUCCUGGUCGGACAUCAGGAGGUUAGUGCAAUGGCAUAAGCUAGCUUGACUGCGAGCGUGACGGCGCGAGCAGGUGCGAAAGCAGGUCAUAGUGAUCCGGUGGUUCUGAAUGGAAGGGCCAUCGCUCAACGGAUAAAAGGUACUCCGGGGAUAACAGGCUGAUACCGCCCAAGAGUUCAUAUCGACGGCGGUGUUUGGCACCUCGAUGUCGGCUCAUCACAUCCUGGGGCUGAAGUAGGUCCCAAGGGUAUGGCUGUUCGCCAUUUAAAGUGGUACGCGAGCUGGGUUUAGAACGUCGUGAGACAGUUCGGUCCCUAUCUGCCGUGGGCGCUGGAGAAUUGAGGGGGGCUGCUCCUAGUACGAGAGGACCGGAGUGGACGCAUCACUGGUGUUCGGGUUGUCAUGCCAAUGGCACUGCCCGGUAGCUAAAUGCGGAAGAGAUAAGUGCUGAAAGCAUCUAAGCACGAAACUUGCCCCGAGAUGAGUUCUCCCUGAGACUUUAAGUCUCCUGAAGGAACGUUAAAGACGAUGACGUUGAUAGGCCGGGUGUGUAAGCGCAGCGAUGCGUUUAGCUAACCGG
rnacentral:rRNA from 1 species